GUUUCCGUACGGAGACUCGGAGUCGGCCGGCGGGGCUCAGUGGGAGGGUGGCUCCGAGCCGGGCGGCGCCCGCCCCGUGCUGGGCGGCGCCAUGUUUCCGUACGGAAGGGUGGGCGCCGCUGGAGUGUGAGGCGGGAGCGGAGCACGUGGUAGAGGCUGCGCGGACUCCGUCAAGGGAAAGAAGGAGACCGGCCGCGAAUCCGUGAGCUCGUUCAGAGCCUCCCCCGCUCGGGUCUUCAGGCUUCGGUAGUACCGUCGUCGGGUUUCCGUAGCUGCACGUUGUUUACUAUUACCUCAGUUUGGAAAAAAAAACCAGUGGCUGCCACACUUUGUCGACAGAAAGAGCGAGACUUCAGCCCCGCAGAGACGCGGGGCGAGGGGACGAAGGGCUCCGGUGACGGUCCAGCCUGGUGUCGGAGGGCUAAUGCCGGGGUUCUUAGUGGAUGAUUUUACUCCCAACUAAAUAUCUGGCAAUGUCUGGAGACGUUCUUGGCUGUCAGAAGCUGAGAAGGGAUAUUCCAGACUUAGAGAUGAAGAAGCCAGGAACCUGGAUAUGCCAAUGAACACAGACAAAAAAGCCCCUGCAAAAGUCUGCUCCCUCUAGAGAAGUAUGAAGUAUGAAGAGUUGAAGGUUUCUAGUCAUGGAUCUGCCAUUAACACAAUGUCUUGGUAAACACUCUCGGCUCUCCAUUGUCAGUCAAUAGCUAAGUCCAGUAUUUUGAUUCCAAGUUGGAAGAGGAAAGGACUUGUGUUUUAAGCAAAGUUUACCUUUCAUGGCAUAGGAUAAAAGUAAUUGCACACUGUAGAACAUUUGCAGCUUAAGAAAUAUAUUUUAAAAAUCUCACCAUCUAGAAGCAAUCACUAUUAACA